AUCGAACCCGGAGAUAGCUGGUUCUCCUCGAAAUAGCUUUAGGGCUAGCCUCGAUUUAGUCUUAUGGAGGUAGAGCACUGAAUUUCCGCGGGGGCGUCAAAGCUUACCAAAGAAUAUCAAACUCCGAAUGCCAUGUAGAUGAUGAUCGGGAGUCAGACUGCACGAGAUAAGUUGGGCAGUCAAAAGGGAAAGAGCCCAGACCACCGGCUAAGGUCCCAAAGUGCGUGUUAAGUGGAAAAGGAUGUGGGAAUUCGAAGACAACUAGGAUGUUGGCUCAGAAGCAGCCAUACAUUCAAAGAGUGCGUAACAGCUCACUAGUCGAGAGUUCCUGCGCCGAAAAUGUCCGGGGCUGAAACACGACACCGAAGCCGUGGACUCGCAAUGCGAGUGGUAGAGGAGCAUUCUUAAAACCGACGAAGCUGUACCGGAAGGAGCAGUGGAGGGAUAAGAAGAGAGAAUGCCGGAAUGAGUAGCGAGAGAAAGGUGGGAAUCCUUUCGGCCGAAUAUCUAAGGUUUCCAGAGUAAAGCUGAUCUGCUCUGGGUAAGUCGGGGCCUAAGCACAGGUCGCAAGACGUAAGCGAUGGAUAACAGGUUUAGAUUCCUGUACCACGCAUUAUCAGAACUGUAGGGACGCAUGUGGAAAGCACGAGCCGGGAAUGGAAAGACCGGUACAAGCGGGGUAGGUGUACAAUAGGCAAAUCCGUUGUAUAAUCCGAAGACGUGAUGUGGAGCGAAAUAAAGUAGUGAAGCGUGUGAGCCAUGUGCCGAGAAAAGCUGCUAUUGUGUAAUGCGUGCCCGUACCGUAAACCGACACAGGUGGAUGAGGAGAGAAUCCUAAGGCCGACGGAAGAAGCAUUGUUAAGGAAUUCGGCAAAAUGACCCCGUAACUUCGGGAGAAGGGGUGCCUGCGAGAGCAGGCCGCAGAGAAUAGGCUCAAGCAACUGUUUAGCAAAAACACAGGUCUAUGCGAAACCGAAAGGUGAGGUAUAUGGGCUGACGCCUGCCCGGUGCUGGAAGGUUAAGAGGAGAGGUUAGCGGUAACGCGAAGCUUUGAAUUUAAGCCCCAGUAAACGGCGGCCGUAACUAUAACGGUCCUAAGGUAGCGAAAUUCCUUGUCGGGUAAGUUCCGACCCGCACGAAAGGCGUAAUGAUUUGAGCGCUGUCUCGACAAUGCAUCCGGUGAAAUUGAAGUACCAGUGAAGAUGCUGGUUACCCGCGCCAGGACGGAAAGACCCCAUGGAGCUUUACUCCAGUUUGAUACUGGGAUUCGGUACUGCAUGUACAGGAUAGGUGGGAGACGAAGAAGGAUGGACGCCAGUCUGUCCGGAGUCGCUGUUGGGAUACCACCCCUGUAGUACUGGGUUUCUAACCAGUUGCCAUGAACUGGCAAUGGGACAAUGUCAGGCGGGGAGUUUGACUGGGGCGGUCGCCUCCGAAAGGGUAUCGGAGGCGCUCAAAGGUUCCCUCAGAAUGGUUGGAAACCAUUCGAAGAGUGCAAAGGCAGAAGGGAGCUUGACUGCGACACCGACGGGUGGAGCAGGUACGAAAGUAGGACUUAGUGAUCCGGUGGUAUAAAGUGGGAUUGCCAUCGCUCAACGGAUAAAAGCUACCCUGGGGAUAACAGGCUUAUCACUCCCAAGAGUUCACAUCGACGGAGUGGUUUGGCACCUCGAUGUCGGCUCAUCGCAUCCUGGGGCUGUAGUAGGUCCCAAGGGUUGGGCUGUUCGCCCAUUAAAGCGGUACGCGAGCUGGGUUCAGAACGUCGUGAGACAGUUCGGUCCCUAUCCGGCGUGGGCGUAGGAUAUCUGAGAGGAGCUGUCCUUAGUACGAGAGGACCGGGAUGGACGGGCCGCUGGUGCAUCGGUUAGACUGCCAAGUCUACGGCCGAGUAGCCAAGCCCGGAAGGGAUAAACGCUGAAGGCAUCUAAGCGUGAAGCCCCCCUUAAGAUGAGAUAUCCCAUUCGUAAAGAAGUAAACCCCCUUGAAGACGACGAGGUAGAUAGGGCAGAGGUGGAAGUGUGGCAACACAUGGAGCUGACUGUUACUAAUCGGGUGAGGGCUUGACCAA
rnacentral:rRNA from 1 species